rnacentral:pre_miRNA from 1 species
CAAAUACUCCCUCCGUCCAGAAAUACUUGUCAUCAAAAUGGAUAAAAGGAAAUGUAUCUAGACGUAUUUUAGUUUUAGAUACAUCUACUUUUAUCCAUUUUGAUGACAAGUAUUUUCGGACGGAGGGAGUAGAAA